GUAUGUCAGCAAGCGGUUCAGCUAUUCACCAAUGGUGUACGAGGCAAGAACUCUCCUGGCAGCCCUGGAUUACAACCACCAUAAAGAUAGACUACCACUGCUAAACAAAAAAGGGGAAAAGAUCUAUCGUCGAGUGUUUAAAAAAAAACAGGAAGAUGGACGGUAUAUGCUAUGAAGGUGAACAAAGACUACAGCUACAUACCAGAUCUACAGGCAGCAAUUCUGCAUGAAAGACUACAGGCUGACAAGGGGAUGCCAAGGCGUCGGACUCUAAGGCCAGAGGAUCCACGGAGACUGGGCUUCAUUCCAAAAGUCCCACCUCCACCAAUUGACACUAUUCUUGAGUCCCAUGUGAAUAGAGGGAUAGGAUCCAUUCCUACACUAUGUGAGACAGAGGAGCCCUGAAUUACAACCUCUCAUCCACACCACCAGAGCUCUGUUUUGGACAGUCUAAAACA